GAACGCAGACCAGAAAGCAGAGAAAGAAAGAAACCACCAUGCAGAGUUUCAGUUAACAAUCCUUUUCUUUUUCCCCCCUAACCUUUGUUUGAAAAGAUGAGAUCAUUUUGCAUGGAUGGAAAGAAAGCAAGGCUGGCUUUUGAAUUUAGCAGGUUUUUUGUUCUUUGGGAAAUUCCUUCCUAAAGCUCCAGCCAGCUCAGGGCUGUGAUACACACUGUCAUAAAAAUAGCUGGAGGUGUAACAUAGGAGGACCCAAAGGGCUUGGUGCAUGCUUGUGAGCACAUGAUGGGGAUGGGAUGGCCUUGGGGGAAAGGACACUGUGUUUCUGGGUUAGUGAUGGGAGUGCAGAGACCUGGGGGCAGAGAUUGGGAGGGUGCAUUAUCAGUCAUCCUGGAAGAGAUUAGCAAGUUGAUGGAUGAAGACAAGAAGGCGGGCAGGAGAAUGGGAUUCCUGGGGAGAGACUCAGACAUACCGAGAAGGCAGUGGGCAUUUUGGGCACAGGACUCAGUUCUCCAGUUUCUGGGUAGCAGCACAAAGGGAGGAGGUGGUGUAGUGGCACUGAAGGAAGGCACACUACUUGUGGGGUUUCCUUUUCUGCCCUCACACUCUCAUUUCCUCCUUUCUAGAGAAAGCCCUAGGCAUUGCCCCUGUGUGGUUCCAGACAAGUGAGACCUGUGAACGUGAGCAGUGCAGCCAAUGAGGUUGGUAGUAUCCCCUCAUGCUUUACUGAACAUCCCCUGUGGGUCUGAGCCCUCCCUGGUGGUUAUGGGGGUAAUCCCAUAAGAUCCUCUUUCAAACCAGAAAUGUGGACAAGGAUUUAUCUGUGUCUGGGGGAUUCUUUCAGAACCUCAGUCCUCUGUUACUCAGAUGGCUUCUCAGUGGCUGUCUCAGUGAUUUAUGGCCAAUCUAGAAAUACUUGUUCUUGCACCACAGUGUGGUUUUGCAUCAUUUAUUUGCACUUUCCUCACUUCUGGUGCUUUUGUCCAGUUUAGCAGAGCUGGCAAAGUUUCUGCUCCAGUCAUCCAUGUGUAGUUCUGGGCGUCCACUUUGGUGUGCAGCCUUUCUUGCAGCACUUUUUUCCCCAAGCCUUAAGAACUCUGUAUCAGCUCCUGCCUUCGUGGGCUUCUCACUCUGCUCAGUCCAAUUACUUGAUAUCAGCUCCAGAGUUUUUUCACCACCCUCAGACACCUCCAGCCUCCCUAAGAGUCCUGCAGAGAAGAUCCCAAGACAUCUCAGAAUCAGUGAAGGCAGCUCACAGAAAUGCACACCUUUGUCAGGCUACAGCUAGGGAAUCAUUUUCAUGAGAAAAGGUCAAGUCAGACCUGCGUAUUCUACCUCUGUCAAACCCACGCUGCUUUCUGUCUCAUUUCCCAUCCUGCUGUUUUUAUUCUUUCCCUCAAGAUUUUUUCAUAAAGCACUGCACACUUGUUCAGAUUAGCAUAAGAUGCUGGAAGUCACUUGGACCGCUUCCCCACUGAGAUGCAUUACGCACUUUGCCCACUGCUAUUCCACUCCCAGAACCUCCACCUUUGCCAGUGCAAAGAACCCACAGGCUGACAAACCUCCAGGUCCACGUUAGCACUUAGCAAGUUUCUCACUCCUAAACGUGCCCAGGUCAAACAGGGCUAUAAAAGCAGGCAGGGGAGGAGUGCUUCUCCAAUCCCAGACCCCAGUGACAUCUGUCAGUCUGAGCUGAGAAAGUCACAGAAUCACAGAACCAUUAAGGCUGGAGAGACCACGAAGAUCAUCUAAUCCAACCAUCAACCCGCCGUGCCCACUGACCACAUCCCGCAGUGCCACAAAGCCCACAGCUGCCGCCCUGCCUGUCGCUGCACACACAAAAGAUCAUGAGAUACUUGAGCUGAUUUCUUAGCACUUUCUGUGUACUGCAGAAUGCAAUGAAGAAAUUAGAAAAAUGAGAGCAGUUUGGAGCUGGGGAGGAAGAAUGUUUGCUUCUGGCAGCCUACAGAUGACACGCAGAAGCCUGGAAGCAUGGCAUUUGUUAUUUCGGUACGAUGUAAGAUGAUGUGAUAAAUAAUGUAAACGUUGAAAUUUCAAGGAAUAUCAGACAAGACUCGGAAUACUGGGAGGCGAAGCCUUUGUUCAGUGAUGCUCUCUCACUUGGGAUGCUAGCAGCCUGCAGCUCUCAUCACAAACAGCCCCAUAAAGAUUUCGCUUUGAGACCAAAGCAUCGCCUUCAAAUUCUGCCAUGAAAAAGCACAAAGCAGCUCUUCCUCCCUCUGUUGUUUCAGCCUCUGUGCCUCAAAGAACCUUUAUAUUUUCUCUGCUCCCUUGACAAGAUUAAUUCAGAUUAAACUUAACCAGUCCUUAUUUAUCUCUGCAUUAUUCUCAGUAUAUGGUUUUUAUUUUUGUUUCAGAAAUCAACGCCAUACAGAGCCUUGUUAACUACUGCAUUUGAACUAUAAAUAGCUAUUCUCUGGGCUAUCGUGCUUCUAAGAGUUUCUCUUUUCAGUAUUUUCACUGCUUAUUUGGGAGCAAACCCAGAAUAACACCUCCUUUUAUCGUCCUUGUGAUGAUGUGGUGACAAAACCUGUCAGUUUCCACAUCUGCUAAUGCCAUUAUGAAUACCAGCUCUCCACCAAUAGCUCAUCUGCUAGCUCUCCGUAAUGACAACUGUCAGCCAAAAAGAGUUCAGCAAUCCUAGGAGGGUGAGCCUUGUCUGUCUGCAUCCUCAAAAGCAGAAAAUAUAACAUAUUUGCUACGAUUUGGCUCUCUCCUAAGUCAUAGCUGGAGACGCAGAUUGCUGCAAGAGGUGAUGAAGUCCAAGAGCUGCUUUCAGUCACUGCUAAACAUGGUCACUUUAUCCUCUUGGGGAACUUGCUGGGCUGCAGAUCCUUAUUUGGAAUUAUUUCAUGCGCCUGCUGAACACAAGCCCAGGUCAGGUCCUCUCUUUCAUCCGGGGAGGAAGUUCAGAGGAUGACCAUCACGGAUGCAAUAAACCUGCACAACAGUGGCUGAGGUUUUCUCAGAACUUGGCAGCAGCAGCGAUGCAUUCCCUUUGUGUGCAGGAGGAGCGAGUCUGGAGAAACAAAGUCCCCCUGUGCUUCAGGAAAGUUUAUUGCCCACUUCUGAAAAAAAAAAAA
ensembl:lncRNA